AGUCACAUUCGUGCAGGUAAACCAGAAUCGAUGUCCGCCUCACACGCGGAAGGUCGCUGGUUCGAUCCCAGCUGGGACCACCA
rnacentral:tRNA from 1 species